rnacentral:rRNA from 1 species
UGGCGUGUUAUUAAAUGUGCUUUCCCAGAAAAUGAUGUUGGCAGCAGAAUAAUAGCAACUACAAGAAUUAAGGAUGUGGCUAGGGCAUGCUGCUCAAAUCGACAUGAUCAUAUUUUAGAAAUGCAGCCCCUUAGCGAUGUAGACUCAAGAAGAAUAUUUUUUAAUAGAAUAUUUGGCUCGGAGGAAGCUUGUCCUAAGCAUCUUGGAGAUGUUUCAGUUCAAAUUCUCAAAAAAUGUGGUGGUUUGCCACUUGCAAUAGUUAGUAUAUCCAGCUUACUAGCCAGCGAAGGUCCCAACCAAAAGGAAAUGUGGGAACAUGUACUGAAUUCUUUGGGCUCAGGAACAAAUUUCACACUAGAAGGCAUGAGGCAAGUAUUAGACCUCGGCUAUAGAGAUCUUCCUCCUCACCUCAAGACAUGCUUGUUAUACCUUGGUAUGUAUCCAGAGGACUACACGAUAGGAAGGUCAAAUUUGGUACGCCAAUCGUGGUUGAAUGUUUUAUCAGUAAAGAAAGUGGACAGGAUGUGGAGAAGGCUGCAAAUAAUUAUUUCAAUGAGCUUGUGA